UACGGAGGGCGCAAGCGUUGCUCGGAAUUACUGGGCGUAAAGCGCGUGUAGGCGGUCGGGCAUGUCGGAUGUGAAAGCCCCCGGCUCAACCGGGGAAGUGCAUCCGAAACUACCUGACUUGAGGUUGGUAGAGGGCAGGGGAAUUCCCGGUGUAGAGGUGAAAUUCGUAGAUAUCGGGAGGAACACCAGCGGCGAAGGCGCCUGCCUGGGCCACACCUGACGCUGAGACGCGAAAGCGUGGGGAGCAAACAGG
rnacentral:misc_RNA from 1 species